GGGAGUAAGAUGGAGUCGAAUCGAAACCAGAAAACUAGCCUGUAUCGGUUGUGUCGCGACGAGGGAUGAAAGAAGCUCUGAUACGGUUAUGGAGUUCGAGAUUUUUCGAUUGUGGAAGAUGCCUUUUGUUGAUGAGGGUUCUCAAGGUUGUUGAAAGUUUGUGGAGGCGUAAAGUUAUGGAAGUUGAUAUCGAUUCUGCAGAGUGAUGGUGAAGGAGUUUUAUUGAAUUGAAGGUUGAGUUUUUGACAGUGAAAAAGAUUGAAGCUUCUGGUAGUGAAAAAGAUUGAAGCUUCAAUGAGGUUAGCUUUUAUAACAAUCUCUCUCUCCAAAAUCAGUUAGAAACUCAACUUAAAUUCCAAAGAAAUUCAAUCUAAAUUCACUUCAAACCCACAAAACAGUUAGGGUAGUUAGUAUCCAAUUCUGUUAUGAAACUGCUUAUGAGUUUGUUGGAAGGAUGAAAUUGGUUAAAACUUAGUUAUGUAGGUUGUUGUUAGCAUGAGUUGGGUUAAGAUUGGUUAGUAGUUAAAGCAUUUUGAUUCAGUUAAAAUAAAAAUGAUGAAAUCUGAUGGUUGUAAAUGAACUCUGAAACUGAGUUAUUUAAGUUUGUUUUUGCUGUAACUGAUUUUCUAGUCAUGUCUAAUCUCGAGCUCUUAAUAAAAGUUAAUGUUAAUGAGAGUUAGUUUGAUUUGUUAUGGAAAAUGUUAAGUCGAUUAAAGUGUUAUGCUGCAGAAUUAUUGUUGAUUAUCACUGAUGCAGUAUUUGUAAGAAAACGUGAUACACAGGAGAACCAAUACGAUUGUUAUCUUAGGAGUUGAAAAUUACAACUGAAGCUUCCUCUCGAAGUACCAUUUUUCUUUUAGGAGGAGUGGAGACGCAAACCAAAGCUUAAAUCUGCUCCUUAUGAUGGUGUAUUGAAGGCGUCUAAGUUUGAUUUAUAUUUCAUCUCUAGCAUUUCAAAAGAAAGACCAUGCUCGCUAUGCUCAAAAUUCACAUUCAGCUUUGGUAGAUUGAAGCCCACCUUCUCAGGAAACAAAGAACUGAAGCGUGCUAGUUUUUUCUGCUUUGUUGAAGACUGUUUUGUGGUCAUGGAAUUUGCUUGCAAUGCCAUGGAGCCAGGUUGCAUUCAUGUAAAUCGGAGUUUCUUGGGAUUGGCUAUGGAUUGAUGCUUGAAAUAUGCUUGCUAGGGGCUUGAGUUGUAGUUUAAAAUGAAGUGGUUGCAAUGCUUGUAAUUUUGAAAUUCUGAAUUGAAAACAUUGGUUUGUGGUUGUUUGUGAUGGACUUUAGUAUGGUCGGAGGCCAACUUAUGCUUGUAAAACUUGAUGUGAUAAAAAUGGAAAUUGUAUGUGAUUUUGACUUGAUGUAUUAGACUUAUGUCAAGUGGGAAUGUAAAUAGGUAUUGGAAUUUGAUUGUAAAAAUGGAUGUUCUGAACACAUACUUUAUUGGAUGAAUGUGUGGAUUUGAACUUAUUUGAAACUUGUGAAUGAAAUGGUAAAUUUGAAUGUAAAUGGAUUGGAAAUUGUACAUGUAAUGGAACGGGAAACACAUGUAACAUAUUAGUUUUAGAAAUGUGUAUGAAAAUGUAUGUUAGACUUGAAUGGUAAUCAUGAAUAGAACUAAAAAAAUGAAUUUGAGUAGAAUGGUUUGGAUGCAAAAUAUGAAUGGACAGGGCUAAACACAAUCAUAUAAGUUGUAUGGACAAAAGGCCUUGAAAAUGACUUGGGGGAGAAUAGUUGACUUUGGUAAACUAUUUGACCAAAAAGUCAAUUGUUGACCAAAGUCAACAUUUGGUCAAAGUUCCCAAAUUUUGUAUUUUUUAUGUAAUGAACAAAGUGAUGACAUGUAAUUACUAUUGGAAUGACGUCUUGGUGAAUUUGAAUG